ensembl:lncRNA
CACGAACGUUUCUCAGGUGGCCGGCAACUCGUGCACUGAGGCACCAGAACAGAGAAGGACGUGCCUUAGAAUUACAGAAUCGUUUGAGUUGGAAGAGACCCUGAAAGGCCAUCUAGUCCAGCUCCCUCGCAACAAACAGGGACACCUACAGCUCCAUCAGGUGCUCUCAGCCCCGUCCAGCCUGACCUUGAGUGCCUCCAGUCAGUCUUCAAUCUCCCCUCUAGUAGCCGAGUCCUACUUGGGGAGAGCAUCACGUUACAAUGUCCCCGCUUCUUCUCCCGACAUACACGGAGACACAAAUCCCGCAGCCUCUGGGCUCUGCCCAGGGUUCCGCUGGGAGACGGCAACGGCACAAACGGAGCUCCCCCCGAGGAGCGGCUGCAGGUCGGGGGGAGCCGCCUCCUGGCUGCACCCGGGCUGUGCCAUCAACGAAUGCCGGCGUGCCCCGUGCAGCUCGCUUCUUCUGCGGGAAAAUCUCGUCUGCUUCCGACUCUAUUUCCUAAAUGACGCCCAUCUCUUUCCGAGGAGAGGACAGAAACACGGCCCAGGCAGGAUUCAAUUGAUUUGCUAAUAAGAAGCAAAGCAACACAUCCGAACGGCCAGGACUUUUCAGAAGCGGGGUUCAUUUGCAGUCUCUGAUAGAAGAACGGAAGCAGAAACGGAUCGAACGGUGCACCGAAGUCACCCGUGGGUCACCUAAACAGCCCUGCUCCGUCUGUGUGCGUGCUGUCUGUUGGAGCGCUGUAACAAAGAGUCGCUGCAUUGCACCGAAUGUAUUUGCUGCGUGCAAAGCUUUAGGGUCUUAAAAACACCCAUAGCAUGGAUUCAUUUGGUGUUAGCAGGAUCCUAAACCACGGAGUGCAUGGAGGCAGUGCCUGGGUCACGCAGUCCCAGCGACGACCGCUCUGCUGCGAGUGCUGUUUCCACUGGCAGUGAUGUUGUAUGCACAGGGACUGCACAUCUCAUUCAAACACAGCUUUUGCAUUAAACCAUAGAAUCUCUUGGCUUGCCCAGUGACAAUACAAAUACUUUCACAAACCUCACAAUUAAAUCAGUG